AGGUGGUGCAUGGUUGUCGUCAGCUCGUGUCGUGAGAUGUUGGGUUAAGUCCCGCAACGAGCGCAACCCCUACGUUAGUUGCUAACGCGUGAAGGCGAGCACUCUAGACGAACUGCCGUUGACAAAACGGAGGAAGGUGGGAUGACGUCAAAUCAUCAUGCCCCUUAUGUUCUGGGCUACACACGUGCUACAAUGGCCGGUACAGACGGACGCAAAGCCGCGAGGUGGAGCAAAUCCUAAAAAGCCGGUCUCAGUUCGGAUUGCAGGCUGCAAUUCGCCUGCAUGAAGUCGGAAUCGCUAGUAAUCGCAGGUCAGCAUACUGCGGUGAAUACGUUCCCGGGCCUU
rnacentral:rRNA from 1 species